ACAGCAGUCGCCGCGGUAAUACGAAGGGUGCAAGCGUUAAUCGGAAUUACUGGGCGUAAAGCGCACGUAGGCGGCUUUGUAAGUUAGAGGUGAAAGCCUGGAGCUCAACUCCAGAAUUGCCUUUAAGACUGCAUCGCUUGAAUCCGAGAGAGGUGAGUGGAAUUCCGAGUGUAGAGGUGAAAUUCGUAGAUAUUCGGAGGAACACCAGUGGCGAAGGCGGCUCACUGGUCCAUUACUGACGCUGAGGUGCGAAAGCGUGGGGAGCAAACAGGAUUAGAUACCCCUGUAGUCCCUGUCUCUUAUAC
rnacentral:rRNA from 1 species